GCAUCCUCGGGCCUGAGCGCCCGCCCACCGGCACGCGGAGGGGCUUCCUGGAACGAUUAGGCGGACCGUCGCCCCCAGGCUCCUUUCUCCCCUGGCGGAGUUUCUGCCCGCUGCGAUCUUCCCUAACUACCACUCUGCGGUCGCAGAAGACCAUCCAGAGGGGAGAUGAGGACUGGGAAGCCCGCUUGAGUGAUGCACAUCUGUGGCUUGUUACGAGAGCCGCGUGAAUUAAAGCAAGGCAGGGGACACCGCCCUGCCACUGCUUUCUAACCUUGAUUUUCAUCUUUCCUUCUCGGAUGGAAUCUAGAAGCCGCAGGAGUUUUCACUUGCGUCUGUGAUGGAGUUUCCCGCUCCCCGCCCCCCCGCACCAACCCGAGCUCUUUUUUCGCUUGGAGCCCGUAAGUUGCUAGAGGGCACCACGAUGGCUCUAGGAGCGCUGUCGGUGUUUUCUUCUGGAGGUGAUCCUGAAAUUUCCUCCCCAAAGCAAGCUCUGUUGCGAGGAGCAGGCUGGGGAUAUGUGCAAGUGAAUGUGUAUUCCAAGAGGGGGAUGAUACGCAGAUCUUUUGGUGUAUAGGAAUUAAUACUUUUAGAUUAUCAGUAAAAUGUAUACUUUCACUGGACUGAGAGAGAACAAGGCUUACGGUUACAUCAACCGGAUCAACAAAUAUUUAUUGUACUUGUAAUGAGUAAUACUUAGUCUAUUAUAUAAACAUAAAUGGAACCAUA
rnacentral:lncRNA from 10 species